AAAGUACUCCCUCCGUCCGGAAAUACUUGUCGAAGAAAUGGAUGUAUCUAAAUGUAUUUUAGUUUUAGAUACAUCUAUUUUUAUCCAUUUCUCCGACAAGUAUUUUCGGACGGAGGGAGUAGUAU
rnacentral:pre_miRNA from 1 species